UGGCAUUUCUUGAAGGAAGCACUCCAUCUUCGGUGCCAGCCCCUGCUGCAGGAAGGAAGGCGAAGCCAGACACGGGCACAGGCACAGCAGACUGGGAUGCUGGGAAGGAUUCUCCAUUAGCCUGGCGCUCUGAAGUUGUGAAGCACUCUGAGCAUUCUGCAGGCGUGUCUGCAGGGACGACCUCACCAACUCCUACCUUGGAUGCUGCACAAAAGCCCAGCUCCCAUGGCAGGGGU